UCUAAAGCUUCUUUGGGAGUUAGACCGUGCAUUUGUGCAUGGAAGAUGUGCUUCAAAUGUCAAGCACACAAAACGAUUUCAAGACAAGAGGCCUUUGUCCCACAGAAAAGGAGAACACAUCAGAGGGAAGAAGUGCACAUUCUGCCAACUGCAUGCAGAAGAGCAAUUUCUGUGAAGUUACCCUGCCCCAUUUGACUGUCUGCAACAACAUCUAUGAGCUAGUGGCUCAUACAACUUGUGUGCUACGUACCUUGUAUUGUUUUAGACUUACCUGGCAAUAAAAUGGUGGGGUUUU